rnacentral:rRNA from 1 species
AGGAUGAACGCUGGCGGCGUGCUUAACACAUGCAAGUCGAACGAUGAAGGCUGGAGCUUGCUCUGGCUGGAUUAGUGGCGAACGGGUGAGUAACACGUGAGUAACCUGCCCCAGACUCGUGGGAUAAGCGCUGGAAACGGCGUCUAAUACCGGAUACGAGCUUCCACCGCAUGGUGAGGAGCUAGGAAAGAAUUUCGGCUGGGAUGGACUCGCGGCCUAUCAGCUUGUUGGUGAGGUAAUGGCUCACCGAAGGCGACGGACGGGUAGCCGGCCUGGAGAGGGUGACCGGCCACACGUGGGACUGAGACACGGACCCAGACCUCCGUACGGGAGGCAGGCAGGUGGGAAUAGUUGCGAACAAGUGGGACGACGAA